UCACAGUCCAUAACACCGGCACUGUUCGCAGUCUUCUUAAGGACUUCAGCAUCUAUAAGUGCAGCAGUGUGAGCAAGUGAUCCUUCACUCAACUUGCAUAAUUUGAAGAUGGACACCAGUAGAACUUGUGAAAGCAGCGAGGUGAGAAUUGAUCACUCUCUGAGUGAAGUGGAAAGGCAGCAUUUGGCCAGAAGGACAAAGACUGUUCUAGAGUGCCUGGA